rnacentral:rRNA from 1 species
UGAUGAAAAACGAGCAGUAAAACCUCUACAGGCUUGUAGCUCAGGUGGUUAGAGCGCACCCCUGAUAAGGGUGAGGUCGGUGGUUCAAGUCCACUCAGGCCUACCAGAUUUUCCCUGAAUACUGCGUUGUGAAAUAACUCACAUACUGAUGUAUGCUUCGUUAUUCCACGCCUUGUCUCAGGAAAAAUUAUCGGUAAAGAGGUUCUGACUACACGAUGGGGCUAUAGCUCAGCUGGGAGAGCGCCUGCUUUGCACGCAGGAGGUCUGCGGUUCGAUCCCGCAUAGCUCCACCAUCUCGUGAGUGUUUACGAAAAAAUACUUCAGAGUGUACCUGAAAGGGUUCACUGCGAAGUUUUGCUCUUUAAAAAUCUGGAUCAAGCUGAAAAUUGAAACACAGAACAACGAAAGUUGUUCGUGAGUCUCUCAAAUUNUGAGGGAAAGGCGAAAAGAACCCCGGCGAGGGGAGUGAAAAAGAACCUGAAACCGUGUACGUACAAGCAGUGGGAGCCCCACCACUAAGCCAGUGGUGAACUCCACAUACGCAUCCUUUGCUGAGGAUACGGUUAACGGAGCGAAAGCGACGUUCAACCUCAAAAGAAGCAGAGGGGGCUUAGUGGUGGGGUGACUGCGUACCUUUUGUAUAAUGGGUCAGCGACUUAUAUUCUGUAGCAAGGUUAACCGAAUAGGGGAGCCGGAGGGUGACUGCGUACCUUUUGUAUAAUGGGUCAGCGACUUAUAUUCUGUAGCAAGGUUAACCGUAUAGGGGAGCCGGAGGGAAACCGAGUCUUAACCGGGCGUUAAGUUGCAGGGUAUAGACCCGAAACCCGGUGAUCUAGCCAUGGGCAGGUUGAAGGUUGGGUAACACUAACUGGAGGACCGAACCGACUAAUGUUGAAAAAUUAGCGGAUGACCUGUGGCUGGGGGUGAAAGGCCAAUCAAACCGGGAGAUAGCUGGUUCUCCCCGAAAGCUAUUUAGGUAGCGCCUCGUGAAUUCAUCUCCGGGGGUAGAGCACUGUUUCGGCUAGGGGGCCAUCCCGGCUUACCAACCCGAUGCAAACUGCGAAUACCGGAGAAUGUUAUCACGGGAGACACACGGCGGGUGCUAACGUCCGUCGUGAAGAGGGAAACAACCCAGACCGCCAGCUAAGGUCCCAAAGUCAUGGUUAAGUGGGAAACGAUGUGGGAAGGCCCAGACAGCCAGGAUGUUGGCUUAGAAGCAGCCAUCAUUUAAAGAAAGCGUAAUAGCUCACUGGUCGAGUCGGCCUGCGCGGAAGAUGUAACGGGGCUAAACCAUGCACCGAAGCUGCGGCAGCGAGUAAUAGCUCACUGGUCGAGUCGGCCUGCGCGGAAGAUGUAACGGGGCUAAACCAUGCACCGAAGCUGCGGCAGCGAACGUAUCACCCAAGACAACUUUACGGAGUUGACGAUUGACGGAGCGAAGCGACGUCAAAGCGUUCAUUAAAGUCGAGUUGGCUUAGGGAUACGUUCGUUGGGUAGGGGAGCGUUCUGUAAGCCUGUGAAGGUGGCCUGUGAGGGUUGCUGGAGGUAUCAGAAGUGCGAAUGCUGACAUAAGUAACGAUAAAGCGGGUGAAAAGCCCGCUCGCCGGAAGACCAAGGGUUCCUGUCCAACGUUAAUCGGGGCAGGGUGAGUCGACCCCUAAGGCGAGGCCGAAAGGCGUAGUCGAUGGGAAACGGGUUAAUAUUCCCGUACUUGGUGUUACUGCGAAGGGGGGACGGAGAAGGCUAUGUUGGCCGGGCGACGGUUGUCCCGGUUUAAGCGUGUAGGUGUGUGUUCCAGGUAAAUCCGGUUCACUUUAACACUGAGGCGUGACGACGAGGCACUACGGUGCUGAAGCAACAAAUGCCCUGCUUCCAGGAAAAGCCUCUAAGCAUCAGGUAACAUCAAAUCGUACCCCAAACCGACACAGGUGGUCAGGUAGAGAAUACCAAGGCGCUUGAGAGAACUCGGGUGAAGGAACUAGGCAAAAUGGUGCCGUAACUUCGGGAGAAGGCACGCUGACACGUAGGUGAAGUGAUUUACUCACGGAGCUGAAGUCAGUCGAAGAUACCAGCUGGCUGCAACUGUUUAUUAAAAACACAGCACUGUGCAAACACGAAAGUGGACGUAUACGGUGUGACGCCUGCCCGGUGCCGGAAGGUUAAUUGAUGGGGUCAGCGCAAGCGAAGCUCCUGAUCGAAGCCCCGGUAAACGGCGGCCGUAACUAUAACGGUCCUAAGGUAGCGAAAUUCCUUGUCGGGUAAGUUCCGACCUGCACGAAUGGCGUAAUGAUGGCCAGGCUGUCUCCACCCGAGACUCAGUGAAAUUGAACUCGCUGUGAAGAUGCAGUGUACCCGCGGCAAGACGGAAAGACCCCGUGAACCUUUACUAUAGCUUGACACUGAACAUUGAGCCUUGAUGUGUAGGAUAGGUGGGAGGCUUUGAAGUGUGGACGCCAGUCUGCAUGGAGCCGACCUUGAAAUACCACCCUUUAAUGUUUGAUGUUCUAACGUGGACCCGUAAUCCGGGUUGCGGACAGUGUCUGGUGGGUAGUUUGACUGGGGCGGUCUCCUCCUAAAGAGUAACGGAGGAGCACGAAGGUUGGCUAAUCCUGGUCGGACAUCAGGAGGUUAGUGCAAUGGCAUAAGCCAGCUUGACUGCGAGCGUGACGGCGCGAGCAGGUGCGAAAGCAGGUCAUAGUGAUCCGGUGGUUCUGAAUGGAAGGGCCAUCGCUCAACGGAUAAAAGGUACUCCGGGGAUAACAGGCUGAUACCGCCCAAGAGUUCAUAUCGACGGCGGUGUUUGGCACCUCGAUGUCGGCUCAUCACAUCCUGGGGCUGAAGUAGGUCCCAAGGGUAUGGCUGUUCGCCAUUUAAAGUGGUACGCGAGCUGGGUUUAGAACGUCGUGAGACAGUUCGGUCCCUAUCUGCCGUGGGCGCUGGAGAACUGAGGGGGGCUGCUCCUAGUACGAGAGGACCGGAGUGGACGCAUCACUGGUGUUCGGGUUGUCAUGCCAAUGGCACUGCCCGGUAGCUAAAUGCGGAAGAGAUAAGUGCUGAAAGCAUCUAAGCACGAAACUUGCCCCGAGAUGAGUUCUCCCUGAGACUUAGAGUCUCCUGAAGGAACGUUGAAGACGACGACGUUGAUAGGCCGGGUGUGUAAGCGCAGCGAUGCGUUGAGCUAACCGGUACUAAUGAACCGUGAGGCUUAACCUU